rnacentral:rRNA from 1 species
AUGAACGCUAGCUACAGGCUUAACACAUGCAAGUCGAGGGGCAGCAUUUUAGUUUGCUUGCAAACUGAAGAUGGCGACCGGCGCACGGGUGAGUAACACGUAUCCAACCUGCCGAUAACUCCGGGAUAGCCUUUCGAAAGAAAGAUUAAUACCGGAUAGUAUACGAAUAUCGCAUGAUAUUUUUAUUAAAGAAUUUCGGUUAUCGAUGGGGAUGCGUUCCAUUAGUUUGUUGGCGGGGUAACGGCCCACCAAGACUACGAUGGAUAGGGGUUCUGAGAGGAAGGUCCCCCACAUUGGAACUGAGACACGGUCCAAACUCCUACGGGAGGCAGCAGUGAGGAAUAUUGGUCAAUGGGCGCGAGCCUGAACCAGCCAAGUAGCGUGAAGGAUGAAGGCUCUAUGGGUCGUAAACUUCUUUUAUAUGGGAAUAAAGUUUUCCACGUGUGGAAUUUUGUAUGUACCAUAUGAAUAAGGAUCGGCUAACUCCGUGCCAGCAGCCGCGGUAAUACGGAGGAUCCGAGCGUUAUCCGGAUUUAUUGGGUUUAAAGGGAGCGUAGGUGGAUUGUUAAGUCAGUUGUGAAAGUUUGCGGCUCAACCGUAAAAUUGCAGUUGAAACUGGCAGUCUUGAGUACAGUAGAGGUGGGCGGAAUUCGUGGUGUAGCGGUGAAAUGCUUAGAUAUCACGAAGAACUCCGAUUGCGAAGGCAGCUCACUAGACUGUCACUGACACUGAUGCUCGAAAGUGUGGGUAUCAAACAGGAUUAGAUACCCUGGUAGUCCACACAGUAAACGAUGAAUACUCGCUGUUUGCGAUAUACAGUAAGCGGCCAAGCGAAAGCAUUAAGUAUUCCACCUGGGGAGUACGCCGGCAACGGUGAAACUCAAAGGAAUUGACGGGGGCCCGCACAAGCGGAGGAACAUGUGGUUUAAUUCGAUGAUACGCGAGGAACCUUACCCGGGCUUAAAUUGCAACAGAAUAUAUUGGAAACAGUAUAGCCGUAAGGCUGUUGUGAAGGUGCUGCAUGGUUGUCGUCAGCUCGUGCCGUGAGGUGUCGGCUUAAGUGCCAUAACGAGCGCAACCCUUAUCUUUAGUUACUAACAGGUGAUGCUGAGGACUCUAGAGAGACUGCCGUCGUAAGAUGUGAGGAAGGUGGGGAUGACGUCAAAUCAGCACGGCCCUUACGUCCGGGGCUACACACGUGUUACAAUGGGGGGUACAGAAGGCGGCUACCUGGUGACAGGAUGCUAAUCCCAAAAACCUCUCUCAGUUCGGAUCGAAGUCUGCAACCCGACUUCGUAAAGCUGGAUUCGCUAGUAAUCGCGCAUCAGCCAUGGCGCGGUGAAUACGUUCCCGGGCCUUGUACACACCGCCCGUCAAGCCAUGAAAGCCGGGGGUACCUGAAGUACGUAACCGCAAGGAGCGUCCUAGGGUAAAACUGGUAAUUGGGGCUAAGUC